CGGCGAGUGAAGCGGCAACAGCUCAAAUUUGAAAUCUGGCCCUCGGGUCCGAGUUGUAAUUUGUAGAGGAUGCUUUUGGCGCGGUGCCUUCCGAGUUCCCUGGAACGGGACGCCUUAGAGGGUGAGAGCCCCGUACGGUUGGACACCAAGCCUCUGUAAAGCUCCUUCAACGAGUCGAGUAGUUUGGGAAUGCUGCUCUAAAUGGGAGGUAAAUUUCUUCUAAAGCUAAAUAUUGGCCAGAGACCGAUAGCGCACAAGUAGAGUGAUCGAAAGAUGAAAAGCACUUUGAAAAGAGGGUUAAAUAGCACGUGAAAUUGUUGAAAGGGAAGCGUUUACGACCAGACCUUUUCCUGGCGGAUCAUCCGGUGUUCUCACCGGUGCACUUCGCCAGGUUUAGGCCAGCAUCGGUUCUCGCAGGGGGAUAAAAGCUCUGGGAACGUAGCUCCUCCGGGAGUGUUAUAGCCCUCUGCAUAAUACCCUUGCGGGGACCGAGGACCGCGCUUCGGCAAGGAUGCUGGCGUAAUGGUCGUCAACGACCCGUCUUGAAACACGGACCAAGGAGUCGAACAGUUGUGCGAGUGUUUGGGUGCCAAACCCUCACGCGUAAUGAAAGUGAACGGAGGUGAGAGCCCGCAAGGGUGCAUCAUCGACCGAUCCUGAUGUCUUCGGAUGGAUUUGAGUAAGAGCAUCACUGUUCGGACCCGAAAGAUGGUGAACUAUGCGUGGAUAGGGUGAAGCCAGAGGAAACUCUGGUGGAGGCUCGCAGCGGUUCUGACGUGCAAAUCGAUCGUCAAAUCUGCGCAUGGGGGCGAAAG
rnacentral:rRNA from 1 species